rnacentral:lncRNA from 1 species
UCAGGGAGGUCUGCAUAUGGUCUAAUAGAUAUGCUUGAAAUAAUAACCAAAUCUCUGAAAAAUAAUUGUUUUUCCAAAAUCCAAUUUUUUUAAUCAGCCAUUCCCCUGGUAUAUCAGAGUAACAGUAACCACUGCUCAUGUGUUGAUGUCUGUUGAACCAGCAGAUGAAAUGAGAGAGAUCUCAAUGUGGUCACUUGACAUGCUAGAAAUAACAGCCAAAACUCUGAAAAAUAACUUUUUCCAAAACUUCACUUUUUUUAUAACAUCUCCUCCCCUGGCUUUCAGAAUGACAAUACUUGCCCAACAGAAAAAAGGACAGCAUCAACACUCUCCACAACUGACCUACACAGAAGGAUUAGCUAUAUUCAUUGCCCUCAAACUCUCUGUUAAAGGGAAAGCAAAAUAGAUAAUGCAUCCAUGUAAUCCUGCUUUCUUUGCCAUUGUGUUAGACAAGUUUUAAAUGUUUCAAAUUAUCAUUAAAACCAAAACAGGAAUUUAAUGUUUAUUUAUAAAAUUAAAGAUUCAUUAUUUUUCUCAGUAGGCACAGGCCUGGCUGUGUGAUUAAAUAGCUCACUCUGUAAAUAUGGAACACCUUGGGCAAGUGUCUUCUACUAUAACCCCAGACCAACUACACAGCCUUAUGAGUGAAUUUGGUUGAUGGAAACUAUAUGGAAGCCCAUCAUGUGUGUGUGUGUAUGUUUAAGAUGUGGUGUAUAAUGUGAAGAAGGUUAAUGUACUUGUGUAUGAAGGUGUAGCCUGUCUUUAAAAAUUUCAAAAUGCUGAGCUACCUUUCACUCAUGUUUUUCCAGCUAAAGCUGAGCUGACAUUUUGUCAUACAGAAACAUGUGCUCAUUGAAGGCAAAGUGAUUAGAAUGCCUAGAAAUAAAAAAGCAGGAGUAUUCUGUCAGCUAAGAAAUAAUGAGAGGUGAAAGGUGCAUUGGGUUUAGUUAAGUCCAACUUCCCUAACUAAAAAAAUGAAAACAUAUCUUCCUAAAGACAAAUGAUUUGACAUCUAUGCUCAUGGAACUCCAGAAACCCAACACUUUUGUGCUCUUAAUACCUAGAAACUUCCACUCCAGCACUCAUGUCUUCUAAAAAGUUUGAUCAACAAGCUUCCGUUCCCCAAAUUGCACAAAAUUUAUUAUCUUCAGAGUCAGAAUAAACCAUUGAGUAUGAUUUCAAUUAGACAUACACAUAAGACAGUACUUUCAACAGAAAGAAAAUAGCAUUUCAAAUUUAACCACAUUAUCUUCUCUUUAAUUUAACCACAUUUGUCUUCUCUUUAAUUUUUCCUUAUUUAUUUUUCAUCCAAAACCCUCUCUAAGAGCAUAAUUAAAUUCAAAUUCCAACUCCAGCUGCAAUAUUUAUAAGUUUCCACUUCUUGUUCUGUAUUUUUCUAAGUUCAGCUAAUUAAGAAUAUCAUCACCCUUCCUACAUCUGUAUUUUCCUGCUAGCAUAUAUAAAUAAUUAACCGUUGCUCCCUUGCUGCUGGUAAAUGCCUUCUCCUUCUCUUUCCAUAACAUUCAAGUCUUAUAUCUUCUAUUCAGGAGGGAAGGCAGUGUCCAUGACACUUUAUAGUAUCUCCAAGACUAGUGGGAGGUAGGCAAGAAGGUAUUCUCAAACUGGAAACCUGGUCUGAGUGCUUACAACGAGCUUAACUCCACUAAAGACACUCAAGAACUGGUUGCCGUGUUAAACUGGGUGACAAUUUCAUUCUCUUAUGCAAGUAGGCCAUAGUGAGAUUUGAACAUAGAGCACAAAGAGCUGGAAGAAAUACUACAGACAUCCUGUAUGACAUUCUUAUUGUUUCAUUAAUCCCCUGUGCUGCAUUGGCACCUUUUUAUCAGCACCUGGAAAUAGUUUCUGUUAUUUUGGUGGCUAGUUAGCAAUGGUGGAGGUUGUAUAGAAAGUAUAGUAGCUGGAAUGACUACAAACUGAUGAAAGUUCAGUGAGUUACUACUUCUACUGGUAAAAAAAAGUUUCUAUCUCAGUAAAAAGUAGUCAGUAUGAUGCCAGUACAUGAACCACAAUGCCACAUGGUAGUGAGACAUUUGAAUGCAUUUCUUUCUAGUCUUUGCAGGAUCAAAGAUUAGAAGAAAAAAAAAGCUGGCAUGGUCUCCUGGAUGUACAGUGUCAGUGUGCAAGUAUGACAGAGUGUAAAUGUGUUGAGAGAAAUACUGGGUUUAGGAGGAAUCAGGUGUAGUGUACGAGAGAGAAGAUUACAUUGGUUUGGUCAUGCUUAUGGAUAAGGAUAGUUUUAUAAAUAAGUGCUGAUUACAGUAGAUGGUACCUGUUGUAAAGGAAGACCUAAGAGGACCCAGGAAGACAUGAUUUUGAGUUGGUAUAGGCUAAUCUUGGGAUGUUGAACCUCAUAGAGGAGGUGACAAAGGACUGAGAUGAAUGGGGAUAUGCAGUGCUCUAGAAGAUCCUCCCAGUUAUGUUAACAUGGUCUCACUCAAGUUCAAAAGUAUGUGCACAUUAUAUAUACACUUGGGUCACUCCCAGUAUUCUUACCAAGCCUCACAGCUGCUUUUUCUUUUCCAUCCCCUCAUUCAGAUAACUGGGCCCUUUCCUUAAGCCCAUUGUCAUACCCCACCCAUAGCUACUAUCGUUUUUUCAUUAACACCUGUUUUAUCUAUCUCUUAAUCUGUGCCAUAUUCUUACCUUUACCCCACCCUUACUUUCAUAUUCCCACCACUCAUCCCUCUAUCACUAUCCUAUAUAGUAUUCUACUGCUGUAAAUAAUGAAAUCAGAACUUUUUACCACAAGUCAUAUCAUAUCACCACUCUCUGUUCUCUCAGUGACUCCCAGCUAAUAUUUUUCAAUCAUCCUUAUCAUCCUCCCCAUUCAUGUUUGCCAUUGAUCACCCUCAUUCCUGAUCACUACUCCCUACAUUCAUCACUUCUAACCACCUCCACCCCAUGCAUGAUCCAUCUCUCACUCUCCCUCAUACACUUGCUAUUUUACCCACCCCUGUUGAUUCUCCUGUCUCCACACUCUCUUGUAUUCGCCUUCUUGGAUAUGUUACCUUGAGGGUAUUUCCUGGACUCUUAUCACCUCUGUAUUUAGUUCACUCUGUGACACCAUUUUAACUAACCUCAUCCACCCAUGUAAAAUGCAAAGUAACCAUAAAUUUCCUCCUCAACAAACGUAUCAACCCCUCACUUAAGUCAACCACUGUAUCUCCUAUUCUCCUUUUCAAGUAAAGGUUAGGGUCUUUAAUCUUAUGAAUUACAAGGCAACCUUACUAGUGAUGGUAGAAAAAAGAAAAGUAACUCAGUACAUUCUGUAAAAUGAUUAAAGAAACCUGGAGCAAUAUGUGCUCCUGUACCCUGUUAGAUUUUGUUUAAAUGUCCAACAAGUAUGGAAAGCAAACAUAAAAGUUCUAAUGAUGGUUAUGAUGAUAAUGGUAUAUACAUUUGGAUCUGUUAAACUGAGUGUUUAUUAUUAUUAUUAUUAUUAUUAUUAUUAUUAUUAUUAUUAUUAUUAUUAUUAUUAUUAUUAUAUAUGCGCAGGAGUGGCUGUCUGGUAAGUAGCUUGCUAACCAACCACAUGGUUCCGUGUUCAGUCCCACUGCGUGGCAUCUUGGGCAAGUGUCUUCUGCUAUAGCCCCGGGCUGACCAAUGCCUUGUGAGUGGAUUUGGUAGACGGAAACUGAAAGAAGCCUGUCGUAUAUAUGUAUAUAUAUAUAUAUAUAUAUAUAUAUAUAUAUAUAUAUGUGUGUGUGUGUUUGUGUGUCUGUGUUUGUCCCCCUAGCAUUGCUUGACAACCGAUGCUGGUGUGUUUACGUCCCUGUCACUUAGCAGUUCGGCAAAAGAGACCGAUAGAAUAAGUACUGGGCUUACAAAGAAUAAGUCCUGGGGUCGAUUUGCUCGACUAAAGGCGGUGCUCCAGCAUGGCCGCAGUCAAAUGCCUGAAACAAGUAAAAGAGUAAAAGAGUAAAGAGUAUAUGUAUAUAUAUAUAUAUAAUAUAAUAAUUGAUUGCAUUCCCAAUCAAUUGCUUCCAGUUGUCUGAUACCCAGGCCUUCCUUUUUUUACCUUAUACCUCAGCCAUGAAGACUUUGUCUGGAACAUUUGGGACUUUACUUUGGAUGGUAUUUUUCUUUAACUUUUAUAUAUACAUAGGGACAGGUGUAGCUGUGUAGACAAAUAUUGGCAUAAUGAAUUCUCCCUAAAGACAUACAUACAUAUAUAUAUAUGUACAUAUACAUAUGCACACACACACGUGCACAAACACACACGUGCACAAACACACACACACUUUAUCUUUUAUUUCUUUCAGUCACAAGACUGUGGCCAUGUUCGAGUAAUACUUUGAAGGAUUUAGUCAAACGAAUGAAUCUCAGUGCUUGUUUUUGAAUAUGAUACUUAUUCUAUCAGUCUCUUUCACUGAAUGAUAAAUUACAGAGACAAACAAACUAAUCCUGGUUGUCAAAUGGGGGUAGUAAAACAAAUACAGACACAAAGACAUAUGUAUUUAUAUAUCUAUCUGUCUAUUUCUCUCUCACUCACUUUCUCUUUUGAUACAUAUAUAUAUAUAUAUAUACACACACAUACACACGUGUGUGUGUGUGAGACAAACAUCCUCACAGUUUCCUUCUAUCGAAUUCACUCCUCACAAGCAGGGCCAUCUACAUGUUUUUUGCUAGAUUAACUCUAAGGCCCUUUGAUUCUAGACCUUACUUCCACUCCUGAAACUUCUCCUCUAGUUCUGAUAGUGACUCAGCUAUUAAAGCAAGGUCAUCAGCAUGGAGAAGCUCCCAGGAGAAUCCUGUCUUGAAUUUCUCUGUUAUUGCCUAAAGAACUAUGAUAAAUAAGAGGGGGCUGAGGACUGGAAUUCUUCACUAUACUCAUUGCCAACCCUCACAUUACCAAUAGCAUCCCUCUACAUGGCUUGUACGGCUCUCACUAACCAUUCAUCUAUCCUUAGUUUCUGCAUUGACCACCAGAUAAGGGAUCGGGGGACCCUGUGAAAGGUUUUCUCCACCUCAACAAAAAGCCAGGUACAGAGGUUUAUCUUUGGCUAGGCAUUUCUCCUGCAGCUGUCUUACCAGAAAUAUAGCAGCAGUGGUGCUUCUCCCUGGCACAAACCCAAACUGCAUCUCGUCUAAACUAACUCUCUCCCUAAUUAGUUGGGCUAUGAUCCUCUUCAUGACUUUCAUCCCCUGAUCCAACAAAUUGAUAACUGCUGUAAUUAUUUCUAUCUAAUGCAUCACCUUUACCUGUGUAGCAGUUGACUAUGGGUAUGACUCCUUCAUGUAUCACCUGAUUGACUAUACAAGUGACUAUAGCCUACACUGCCAGAUAUUUUGAGCAUCUCUUCAGUGAUUCCUGAUGGGCUGGAGGCUUUUCCUGUCUUCAUACCCUUAAUUGCUUUAUCUACCAAGGUACUGUCAAUUCAGAUAGCUGGUCCCUCUGUUGGGUCGACAUUCAGCAGACUCUCUUUCUCCCAUUCAUUCUCUUCAUUUAGCAACCUUUCAUAGUGGCAUCUCCAAGUCUCUCUCUUUGCAGCCUCGUUUAAUGCAGGUGAACCAUCAUCCAUGCAGACAUAUUUCUCUUCCAUAUCACAAUUCUCUCUCACACACUGUCUUGCAACAUGAAACACUUCAAGUCUUUUGUCCUUACAACGCAGAACUUUGGCAAAUUUUUUCUUAUCUGCUUCCCCUCUGGCUAAGUAAACCUGUCCCCUAGCUUCCCUUCUGGCAAUCUGAUACAGUCCCUUGCUACCACCACACUUCCAGUCCUUCCAUGCCUGUUUCUUUCCCCUAGUGACCCUGUCAACUACAUCGUUCCACCACCACGUUACUUUAGGUCGAGAGGGGAAUUUGCACCAUCCAUAGAUCUGGUCAGUAGCCCUCAACAGGUUGUCCCAUAGGAGCCUCCAGUUAUCUUCCGCAUUAUGUGUUGCUGUUUCUUCCUCUUUUUUAUCAAAAGCUCCAAGUAAUACAUCUCUAAAUCUCUCUCCAUUCACAGAAUCUUUAAGCUUCCAGACCCUUCUUUUCCAUGCUGGUCAUCUGGGCAUUCAUUUAACCCUGAUAAUCAAAUAAAUAAUAACAUAUGUAACGCGCUAACAAUUAAUCCAUCAUAUGUUAUUAAUCAUUUGAUUAUAAUACACAAAGGAGAUUCACGACUUGUUAGACGCCCUAGAGUAUACCAUCAACGUACUAUUCAAAGUAACACGUGAUUUGGACCAGUCCCCUAGGGUUGGUUUUCUCUGUGUACACAACUAGAAUAGCCUAUUUGAUACUUACCAACAAUAGGCCGGAACCACAGGUUUAUCCAACCUUACCUGGUGCAUAUCUUUUCAAGUACCUGAUUCUAUCUGAAUCCUUAUUUUACUAUGUAUAUUAUGUAUGCAUGUAUGUAUGUAUGCAUGUAUGGGCUAAAAAGUCACAUUCAAUCACAGCACCAGUAACAGUUAAGCUUCGUGUAAUGGCCAUACUCGAUAACGAGGGGGCAGCCAUAAUAUGUAUGUAUGUAUGUAGUGAAGGCAUGUGGCUUACUGGUUAGGGUAUUUGGCUCAUGAUCUCAAAGUCAUGAGUUCAAUUCCCUACGGCACAUUGUGUCCUUGAGCAAGACACUUUAUUUCAUGUUGUUCCAGUCUACUCAGCUGGCGAAAAUGAGUAGCACUUGUAUUUCAAAGGGACAGCUUUGUCACACUCUGUAUCACACUGAAUCUCCCUAAGAACCACAUUAAGGGCACACGUGUCUGUGGAGUGCUCAGCAACAUGAAUGUUAAUUUCAUGAGCAGGCUGUUCCAUUGAUCAGUUCAACUGGAAUCCUUGUCAUCAUAACCAACAGUGUGCCAGUUAUAUGUAUAUGUAUGUAUGUAUGUAUGUAUGUCUGUUUGCUUGUCUGUCUGUCUGUCUGUCUGUCUAUCUAUCUAUCUAUCUAUCUAUAUAUAUAUAUAUAUAUAUAUAUGUGUGUGUGUGUGUGUGUGUGUGUGUGUGGAGGCGCAAUGGCCCAGUGGUUUGGGCAGCGGACUCGCGGUCGUAGGAUCGCAGUUUCGAUUCCCAGACCGGGUGUUGUGAGUGUUUAUUGAGCGAAAACAUCUAAAAGCUCCACGAGGCUCCAGCAGGGGGUGGUGAUCCCUGCUGUACUCUUUCACCACUCUUUCUUCAGUUGGCCUGCUCGCUUAGCCAGCGGGGUGGCGUCAUUCGAAGGCUAAAACAAUGUGAAAGCAUUGUGACCAGCGAUGUGUAACUACAUCUGAUGGACUGGUCGGUCACAUGAUCACGUGAUAUAUAUAUAUAUAUAUAUAUAUAUAUAUAUAUAUAUAUAUAUACACUCACACACACCAUAUAUUUAUAGGCAUUUCACUGAGUGAAAUGACACUAUUAUCUAACAAAAGCUGAUUUAUUUAAAACAAUCACCUGAGGAGAUGAAUCUUACAUCUUGUAUUAGAAACAAUGACUACACCUGUUAAUUUUAUCAUCUCACCAAUGUCCUACAAAUGUAAAAUUAUGACUAACUGUAGUGAUAUUAAAUAAAGAAUGUCAUUCAAUACAUUUUCUAUUAUUUAUCUACUGAUACUAUGGAAUUCCUUAUGUAUAUCAAGUAGCUAGAACGUUUCUUGUUUCUUUACUGCCUACAAGGGGCUACACACAGAGGGGACAAACAAGUACAGACAAAUGGAUUAAGUCGAUAAUAUCGACCCCAGUGCGUAACUGGUACUUAUUUAAUCGACCCCGAAAGGAUGAAAGGCAAAGUCGACCUCGGCGGAGUUUGAACUCAAAAUGUAGCGGUAGACAAAAUAUCUAUUUCAUUACUACCCACAAGGGGUUAAACACAGAGAAGACAAACAAGGACAGACAAACGGAUUAAGUUGAUAAUAUCGACCCCAGUGUGUAACUGGUACUUAUUUAAUCGACCCCGAAAGGAUGAAAGGCAAAGUCGACCUCAGCGGAGUUUGAACUCAAAAUGUAGCGGUAGACAAAAUAUCUAUUUCAUUACUACCCACAAGGGGUUAGACACAGAGAAGACAAACAAGGACAGACAAACGGAUUAAGUUGAUAAUAUCGACCCCAGUGUGUAACUGGUACUUAUUUAAUCGACCCCGAAAGGAUGAAAGGCAAAGUCGACCUCGGCGGAAUUUGAACUCAAAAUGUAGUGACAGACGAAAUAUCUAUUUCUUUACUACCCACAAGGAGCUAAACACAGAGAGGACAAACAAGGACAGACAAACGGAUUAAGUUGAUUAUAUCGACCCCAGUGCGUAACUGGUACUUAUUUAAUCGACCCUGAAAGGACGAAAGGCAAAGUCGACCUCGGCGGAAUUUGAACUCAGAACGUAGUGGCCGACGAAAUACGGCUAAGCAUUUCACCUGGUGUACUAACGAUUCUGCCAGCUCGCCACUUUCGGAUCAUGUCGUUCACAAGAAGAGACUCAAUAGAUCACAGUGUGGUAGCUGCUCUACUGAACACGUCACUCCGAAUGGUAGCUAGAAUGUUUCUGCUAUAUGAUGACACCAGGAAGCCUAUAACAGUGGACAGGUUUUGCAUAGUGUUCUACAAAGUUUUUGCCCAAAUCUUAGUUAACACAUAUAUAUAUACAAUUCUUGUAUCUUCCAUUUUCUGUCUCUCUGCUUUUCUUUACACAAACCGGGAAGAUAUAUUGCAGAACUGUUAUUUUAAUGAGUUAUAUCUACUUAUCACCCAAAGGGACACAUCUGCACUGCUGGAUGCUCCUGAACCAGCUGUUAAGUAUCCCACCCACGAGGGAUCGAUGCUAAAUGGGUCGAAACAAUUGUAGUGAUUAAUAAAAAUUCUUUUAUGUUUCAUCUUCUGUCUCUCAUUAAUCAUUGUGAAAGUGAUCGAGCUUCACCAGUAAUCUACCAGGUAUAAUCCAUUCAUUUUAUUAUCUAAUAUAUAUCAGUUUCUUUUGCUGAUCUACUAAGUUACAUACCAACACUGGUUGCCAAGCAGUGGUGAUGGACAAACACAGAUCGAAAGACACACACUCACACACACACAUAUUAGGGUGGAGCGAAAAAGGUACUUUUUAUGCAGAUUUUUUAAUAUGUUUUCAAGAAUAUAUUUUCUAUUGUGAAAUCCUUCAAAAACAACUGUUAAAAUCCGAAAUUCUUAAAUUUACAUCUUCAGGCUCCGGAGCCCACUUAAAAUUUUGAGCAACGAGCAAAAAAAUCAAUUUAUAACAAGCUUGCCAUUCCUCAUUUUAUUUUUUACAUUCAUUGUUACGAAUUAAUUUUCUUUUGUGAAAUCCUUUAAAAACAAGGGUUUUAAAAUCUCAAACUCUAAAAUUUAUAUCUUCAGACUCCGCAAUGCACUUGAAAUUUUGAAAUUAUGUGAAAUAAAUAGACUUUUUGACUUUGUUUUCUAUAUUAUUUUUAAUACUAGGUCACCAAAUAUGUGUGUUACUUGAGGUCUAGAUUACAUACACAUUAAAAUAAAUUAAACAGAUUAUCAAGAUUGUAGCUGAAAAGAUAAUUCUUCUUUGGUAAAACGCAUCCAUCCCCUGUGUUACGAUUGAGUCAGAUAAACUGAAAAUCUUAAACUUUCCUUUGCUGAUGUAGAAGGGCAACUGUGAUCUGGCUGAUUCUUUCUAAACAACCUCUGAAUGUUCUGUUUAGAUACUGCUUGAUCUAUUCCACCAAUGAUCAUUUUGUGAUUUGUCCAUUGAUCCUGUAAAAAAUCUUGUUCUCUGUAUGGUACUUCUCUGUCUCUACUACAACUUCAGUUUUUAAAGGAGUUGCACUUGCAACAGGAAAUGUCAAAUAAAUCUUUUGUUGCAUUGUUUUUAAACACAUUACACUUUGAAACAAUGGUACACUUUUUCUAUUUUUCACAAAGUGUGUUUGUUCCUUGUCGAGCCACGACUGGCUCAUAAGGGCCGGUUUCCCGGUUUCGUUGGCGUAUAGGUUCCCCACCUGGACGGGACGCCGGUCCAUCGCAGGUGAGCUGCAAGAUGCAGGAAGAAAGAAUGAGAAAAAGUUGUAGCGAAAGAGUCAGCAGAAGUUCACCACUACCUUCUGCCGGAUCCGUGUGGAGCUUAGGUGUUUCACUCAUAAACACACACAUCACCUGGCCUGAGAUUCGAACCUGUGAUCCCUCGACCGCAAGUCCGCUGCUCUAACCACUAGGCCAUGUGCCUCCACAACAAAGUGUGUAGAGUGUGGUCAUCUCAAAAAGAAGACCAGGCUUCACCAGCACAGGAUCUCCCUGAUUGUGUUGAGGAAAAUGAUAACUUUUUGAAAAUAGUGAUAAGAAGUGACAAUUUAUGGGUCUUUGGCUAUGUCCCAGAAACUAAAGAUUGAAAGGAAUCCCACUUGAAAGUAACAAGAUUUCAAGACAUCAAGGAAAUCUAAGAUAAUGCAAUGAGGCAGCUGUUCAAUAUCCCAAAAAAGAAGUUCCAGGAAUGCUUCCAUCAAUGGAAAUGAUGCUGGGAAAAGUGCAUGGCUUGAGAAGAGAAUUACUUCAAAGGUGAUUAAAUGUGGAAUUGAUAUGGACUGUAAUUUUCUUUUUAUAGCAUCAGUCUUGAUACUUUUUUAAUCAGACCUCAUACAUGUGUAUACACAGUUGUACAUGCAUGUACAUAUGUGUAAAUCUGUAUACAAGUGUGUACAUCUGUGUGAAGGUUUGUACAUGCAUAUACAUGUGUGCAUAUGUGUACAUUCAUGUACAUGUGCACAGUUGUCUGUACAGCUGUCUGUGCUUAUGUAAAUGACAUACACGCAGCAGAUAUUGUUGGACAUUUCCUGAACCAACACCUUUCUGUAGAUCAGUUUUUUUUCAUCUACCAUUCCCCCGACCUCCAUCGUCAACACAACAACAACACUAUCAUAUCAUCCCAUGAUGCUAAGUAACAUUGAUGCAACCAGCAGACAUUUGUGUAUUUAAGUCCGCAACAUUCAUUGCCAACUAUUACAGGCAACAUGCCAAACUAGUAAUAGCUGUGUCCAUUCUAUUUUCUUGCAGUAACUAUCAGAUGUUUAUAAUUAGUUAUUAGCUGAACAACAACAACAGCAACAUAUAUAUUUAUUUAUAUAGUUAUUAUAGGCGCAGGAGUGGCUGUGUGCUAAGUAGUCCCACUGCAUAGCAUCUUGGGCAAGUGUCUUCUACUAUAGCCUCGGGCUGAUCAAAGCCUUGUGAGUGGAUUUGGUAGAUGGAAACUGAAAGAAGCCCGUCGUAUAUGUUUGUGUAUCUGUGUUUAUCCUGCCAACAUUGCUUGACAACAAUGCUGGUGUGCUUACGUCCCUGUCACUUAGCGGUUCGGCAAGAGUGACCGAUAGAAUAAGUACUGGGCUUGCAAAGAAUAAGUCUUGGGGUUGAUUUGCUCAACUAAAGGCGGUGCUCCAGCAUGGCCACAGUCAAAUGACUGAAACAAGUAAAAGAGAGUUAAAGCUGAAUAUAUAUAAGGUUCCUGACUUUAAGUAAAAGGAAAUACAAGAGGAUCACUUAAUUAUAAUUUCCUGCAACAUAUCCCUCUCAUAUUCACACACUUAUUGCAGCAGUCCUUCAGUUUUUUCUAAAGGAAUUUUGUACGUUGGGCCUCCAACAGGGCCUUUUGCAAUACCCUUGAAGCCAGGAACUUUCCAGCAUCUCACUGUGUGUGUAUGUUUUUGUGUGUGUAUGUGUGUGUGUGUGUGUGUGUGUGUGGUUUAACAAUAGUUUAAAAGGAACAAUUCAUUUUCAACUGUUUUGACUACAUUUUGGUAAGAGAGACUAAAGCGUUCUCUAAAACAGUCACCACACCUUGGCUAAAUAAGAUAGCAUAACAGCUGCUCACACAGCUACUGGACACAACCAAAAGGCUAAAACAGCCCUAAAUUCUCCUCUCAUAGUCAUUGUUCUUAGUGUCAUAUGACAUUUUGCUCCAAGACAAGUGCUUUGGCAGUACCUUUUUGCAUGCUGUCACAUGACCUUAGCAUAAAAACUUCCCUUACCUUUCCAUGUGACUAUCCUCAACCAAUCAAUCUGUAUGUCAACUGAUCGGGAUCUGAACCACUUUCUCUCUAUAAAAACAAAUGAUUUUUAAAACAGCUACCAGAAAAGAUAAAGCUCCACAUAAAAUACAUUUUUGGAAAUCAAAUGUGAAACCGGUUAGUUGUUUGUGUGUGUGUGUGUGUGUGUGUGUGUGUGUGUGUGUGUGUGUGUAUGUGUCAUAUCUGAAUACAUAUUAAAAUUUAAAUAACUCUUCAUGUAUUCUCUGUGCAUUUUCAAGUAGAUUUAUUUCUUCUGCACUAUUACUUGUUUGAAUUAGUAAUGAUUUAUAUAUACAUAUAUGUUAGGCUUCUUUCAGUUUCCAGCUACAAAAUCCACAUACAAGGCCUUUGUUGGGCUGAGACUAUAGUAAAAGACACUUGCCUAAGGUGCCAUCAAAUGGGACUGAACCUGAGGAAGCAAACUUUUUAAUGAAAUAUCCAUGCCUGAAGCUAUACAGUCUAUAAUUGAAAUUUCUUAAUCAUUAAUUUUAAAAAGUGAUAAUUAUUCAUAUUCUUGGGAUUCAUUUUUGUUAUGAAUGCCAUUUUUAAGAGUAAUAGUUGACUUUAUCUUUUUGCUGGUGGUCAAGUUACCACAAUUUCUGCUAUGCUGUGAUAUUCUGUGAGAUAACACUAUAGUUUAUGCUUAGAAAAUAUUUAUAUAGUCUUUUUGUUUUUUGCCAGAGGAUACAGCAUGGCCCCUUAGUGUAAUUGGUUGCACAACUGCUUCAAAUGCAAUAGAUAUAAUGUUUAAGUCCUGGGUUAGUGCUUUUAUAUAUAUAUAUAUAUAUAUUUCAUAUAAUUUAUACAAAAGAUUGAAAAUAGCACAGCUCAUAGAAAUGUUUGACAGCAAUUACAAGAACUUGUGUUAUUCUCCUAGAAAUAACACAAAUAUACAAGCUUAAAUAAAAAGUUAAAUAAAAACCAAGAUAAAUUUGAUAUAAACAAAUAAUGAUGAUGAUGAUGAUGAUGAUGCUGCUGCUGAUGAUGAUGAUAAUGAUGAUGAUAAUAAUAAUAAUAAUAAUAAUAAUAAUAAUAAUAAUAAUAAUGGUAUCUGGUAACAUCUCAGAUGGAAAAUUUCAUGUGGAAAAUUUUUGGUGAGGAUUAACAUCAAGAGAGGAAUAUUUCAAGGAGAUAGCCUAUCACUAUUGCUGUUUCUGAUUUCUAUGACACCCCUCACACAGAUACUACAGAAAGUGAGAUCAGGGUAUACCUUGAAAAGUGGAGGAAAAUUAAAUCAUCUGUUAUAUAUGGAUGACUUAAAGAUCUUUGGGAAGACCGAAUGUGAAACAAAUGGCCUAGUUUCAACAGUGCAGAUAUUCAGUAAAAAUAUCGGAAUGGAAUUUGGGACUAAAAUUUGUGGUAUGCUUAUAAUACGAAAAGGCAAAAUAGUGUUGUCUGAUGGUGUAGAACUACCCAUCAGUGAGAAAAUCAAGUAUAUUGAGUAUUUUGGAAUGUGACAAAACCAAGGAAAGUGAAAUGAAGGAAAGUUUUAAGUGAGAAUAUCUUAGAAGAGCCAAAUUAAUUACGGGAAGUAGUUUCAAAGAAAAAAACAAGAUCAGGGCAAUGAGCACAUGGGCUGUUUCCUUAAUGCAAUAUGGUGCAGAUUGUUAGGUGGACAAAAACUGAGCUUCAGGAAAUGGACAGGGAAACCAGAAAAGUGAUGACAAUUGACAAGGAACUAUACCCCAAAAUUGAUACUGACAGACUCUAUGUGUCGAGGAACAGGGGAGGAAGAGGUCUCAUAGAAUGCAAGAUUUGUGUUGUCAAUGAAAAGAACAGUCUGAGAUGGUUCAUCAAACAACAGAAUGGAUCCAUUGUUUGAGUUAGCAAUUCAAUGUCUACCAAAAAUGUGAUGCACUCACAAACAUUUAAGAAACAUGAUGAAGAAGAAAGAAUAAACAAUUGGAAAAUGAAAUCACUGCAUGGGCAAUACCUCAGAGAAAUCAAAGGGGAAGACGAGACCAACUCUAACCCCCUCCUGGCUGACACGGAGAUAGGUAGAUCUCGCAUCCAGUGAAGAGGGGCAUGAAAGACUGCAGUUUGGAAAGACUGGUUUCACUAAUGGCUGCUACAUCUACACUAAGGGACCUCAGGUCGUUUAAAAGGUAACCUUGUUUCCAAGGCAACCCAAGGUCCCUGACAUUUAUACAACCAAUUUUGAGCAUGAUCAUGUUAAAAAUAACAAAUAUUUAAGAUGGAGAUGAGCUCUACUUACCAUUGUUGAUUGGUGGGUUGCCCCCCCCCUUAUUUCUUGGUGUGGGUGUUUCCAUGAGUAAAUUUUUAUAUAGUCUUUCUAAAAAGGCUUUCUGAAAUGACCCAGCAGCUUCAGGAAAGUUUUUUAGUGUGUUGUACGUGUGCUAUGUAAUUUUUAGAAUUUGUAUGUGUGGUGGUGGUGCAUUGUGUGUUGUGAAGACAAAGUCUUCCAUUUUGGUGUUUGUGUUGUUCCUUAAGUGUAUAACGAUAUGUAUAUUGUCUGUGUUUAUGGCUGUGAGGUUGGUAGUGCUUGUGGAGUCUGUGUUGUAAUUUGUGUUGGUUUUUGAGGUGGUGGUGCCUGUGAAAGUGGUUUGUUGUUGCUGGUUGUUGUGUGUGUGUAUUGCUGCUGUUGGGAAGUUCAGCUUGUUUGUACCUCCCCUUUAUUUUCUAAUAGUUCUUAGUUCUUUUCUUUCUCUUUCUUGGGGGCACUGUGUGCCACUCCCCAAUCUUGACCUCAGUAUUUGAGCAGUCCGAGUUGUUUGGGUUGGGAAAGGGAAUGUUUUGUAGAUCCUGGACUAGUGGGGGUUCAUUUGUUGCUGGUACUGCUGUUGCUAUUGGUGGUGGUGACAGUCCCCUGGUUUUUGGUGUUGAAGCCUCAGUGAUGGCUGGAGGCAUCAUUGCUGGUGAUGGUGGGGGUGAUAGCGCCAGUGCUGCCCUUGGUGCAUCGACCGCUGGUGCCUGCUGCUGCUGCACCUGUUGUUGCUAUUGCUGUUGCUGCACUGGAGGUGGCACUGACACUGGUGUUGGUAGUAGCACUGGCUGUUCCUCCCCUAUCUUUCUGGGACAAGAGACCUUGAGGUAGUUCUUAUCACCACAAAGAUAACACCUCGGCCUCCUGUCCUCUAUGGCCAUGUGUAGUUUUGUGCCAUCUGGCAGACUGAUUGAGUCAGGGAUAAGCUCUAUGCUCUCUUGUUCCACAUGGAUUAAGAGCUCCAUCUCCUGACUUGACAAAUUUUGUUGGUGCAACAUGUGCACCCCCUACACCCAGUAUUGUGGCGGUGUCUUCUAUGUCUAGAAGGACUGCUGCCACCAGCCAGCCAGCAUAUAUUUAUUUCUGGUAGCACCACCUCAAUUUCUAUUUUUGUUACGCACUGAUCAAGGUAUAUAGGCACGAGUAAAAUGUCUUGACCUUUUAGUGACACUGUGGAAUGGUGUCUUGCUUCUUGCUCCAUUGCAAAAUGUGCCUCCACAGUGCUGAAACGUUUUCCUCCUGUUACAUACGUUUUUACGUUCCAUACUGUCAUAAGUAGGAGUUCAAAUUGCUCUUAUAUUGCUUGUUCUAUUCUUUUUUGUGUGUUUACUCAUUUGUAAAUUAGUGUUUUUUGUCUCUAAUUAUAUCAUUUGGUGUAUUUAUCACUACAUUGUUUCCAUUUUUUAUUAUUAGGCCUUUUGAGGCUUUAAUUUCUUCCAUUGUGACAUGUGACUUUUCUUUAAUUUGCCUCGCUGCCAAGAUUUCAGCUUGUUGCUGUUGUUGUUCAUAUUUGUAAUGGUGGUGGCAGUGUCAGUGUCAUUCUUUCUCUCCUGCUUUCUUUCUUCUUUCCUCUCUUCCCCCUUCUCCUGUGCAGGAACAACAGUGGUGGUGAGGGCAGGGAAGUCUUCAUUGAACUGGCUGUUCAACCUGCAUCUCUCACUCCCCCACUCAGUCACCAUUGUUGUUUGUUUACGAAAAUUUUUCAAAGAAGUUUUUUUGUAAAAAAGUGUGUAUUUAGCCCCCAAAAGGGGACUUUUUCCAACAAAAAUAGCUCCCUGGCAGGACAACUUCCCCAGAAACUGAAUUCAAUAACAAAAACUGGAGUUCAAUAAACUCUUCACAACAAAAUGACAAGCACGAAUUACUACUCAUGGAGCUCAAAAAGACACAUCUUGACAUGCUGACAAAAACAACAACAAUAAUAAUAAUAAUAGUAAUAACAAUAAUAAUGGUUUAAAAUUUUGGGACAAGGUAAGCAAUUUCAGGGAAGGGAUUAAGUUGAUUACAAUGACCCCAGUGCUCAACUAAUACUUAUUUUAGCUACCCCGAAAGGAUGAAAGGCAAAGUUGACCCUGGUAGAAUUUGAGCUCAGAAUGUAAAGACAUGCAGUGCCACUAAGCAUUUAGCCUAGCAUGCUAAUGAUUCUGCCAGGUUACCACCUUAAUAAUAAUAAUUAUAAUUAUAAUAGCUCUUUCUAUUAUAGACACAAAGCUUGAAAUUUUGGGGGAGGGGGAAAGUCGAUCACAUCGACCUCAGUGUUUCACUGGUACUUCAUUUAUCGACCCUGAAAGAACGAAAAGCAAAGUUGACCUUGGUGGAAUUUGAACUGAAAAUGUAGCGACGGGUGAAACACUGCUAAACAUUUUGUCUGCUGUGCCAACGAUCCUGCUAGCUUGCCACCUUCUUAAUAAUAAUAAUAAUGAUAAUUCUUUCUACUAAAGGCAAAAGGCCUGAAAUUUGUGGGGGGGGCAACUAGUUGAUCACAUCAACCCCAGUGUUUCAAUGGUACUUAAUUUAUCGACCCUGAAAGGAUGAAAGGUAAAGUUGUUCUUGGCAGGAUUUAAUCUCAGAAUGUAAAGACAGACGAAAUUCCACAAAGCAUUUUGCCUGGUGUGCUAUCGAUUCUGCCAGCUCACCACCUUAUUGAUAAUAAUAAUAAUAAUACUGAUAAUUUUUAUGUAUACAUGUUUCUUUGUAUGUGUAUAUGUGUUAAUAUAAUUAUAUCUAUUCUAUUGCAGUUCUUCCGAAGAUGAUGGUUCCACUACCAAUAUUGCUAUAAGGAAGUAGCCCUCACCAAAUAUAUCUGCUGCACAUUUAUAGGACAUAUGUUACCUACCUGGCUGCAAAUUCACACAUUAUGGACCUGGAGUUCAAAUCAUUGGUUUUCGCACUUAUUCUACAAAGGAGGUAUACCUAGCUGAAUAUAUAUAU